GUCUUCGUGGCGCAAUGGAUAGCGCAUCAGACUUCUAAUCUGGGGGUUGUGGGUUCGAGUCCCACCGUGGACU
rfam:Stylonychia lemnae strain 130c genome assembly, contig: Contig17675